rnacentral:rRNA from 1 species
AUUGAACGCUGGCGGCAUGCCUUACACAUGCAAGUCGAACGGCAGCACGGGAGCAAUCCUGGUGGCGAGUGGCGAACGGGUGAGUAAUAAAUAUCGGAACGUGCCCAGUCGUGGGGGAUAACGUAGCGAAAGCUACGCUAAUACCGCAUACGAUCUAUGGAUGAAAGCGGGGGAUCGCAAGACCUCGCGCGAUUGGAGCGGCCGAUAUCAGAUUAGGUAGUUGGUGAGGUAAAGGCUCACCAAGCCGACGAUCUGUAGCUGGUCUGAGAGGACGACCAGCCACACUGGGACUGAGACACGGCCCAGACUCCUACGGGAGGCAGCAGUGGGAUUUUGGACAUGGCGNAAGCCUGAUCAGCAAUGCCGCGU